CGCCAGACUCCUACGGGAGGCAGCAGUGAGUCCUCUUGGACAAUUUUUUUAACCCUGAUCCAUCUACGCCGCGUUCUUGAAGAAGUCUUUCGUUAUGUAACUCUCUCUAAGCAGGGCCGACAGGAAUGCCUGUACCUGACUAAUAAGCCCCGGCUAACUACGUGCCAGCAGCCGCGGUAAUACGUAGGGGGCAAGCGUUAUCCGGAUUUACUGGGUGUAAAGGGAGCGUAGACGGUUACGCAAGUCUGGAGUGAAAGGCGGGGGCCCAACCCCCGGACUGCUUUGGAAACUGUAUAACUGGAGUGCAGGAGAGGUAAGUGGAAUUCCUAGUGUAGCGGUGAAAUGCGUAGAUAUUAGGAGGAACACCAGUGGCGAAGGCGGCUUACUGGACUGUAACUGACGUUGAGGCUCGAAAGCGUGGGGAGCAAACAGGAUUAGAUACCCGGGUA
rnacentral:rRNA from 1 species